UGCAUCCCAUGUGACCACCCUA
rnacentral:miRNA from 1 species